rnacentral:sRNA from 1 species
UAUUUCUUUUACUUCUUUCUCUCUUUGUGUUAUAUUUCUAGAUCUUCCACUCUUUUGAUCUUAGAUUCUCUCAAUCUUUUAAUCUUUUAAUCUCCCACUCAAUCUCUUGAUCUUUCACUCUCUCAAUCACUCAGCUGACUAUCUUAUAGUUUCAUGUCUGUUAUCUACUUUGUCUUUUACUUUUUCUUUACAUCUUCAUCUUCAUCUUUUAUUCUUCUCUGCUAAUCACAUCAUCUUUUUAUUGACUUGAUCACUGAGCUCAAACUCAUCUGUUAUCUUAUCUUGAUCUCUCUGCUCAAUCUUCAGUUGAUUCUCAGCAGUGUCUGUUAUAAAAUCCUUCUUGUAUUCUUUCUAUUUCUUAGAAUGUUUUUCUUAUCA